GUAACACUUUUCUCCUGAGCAGGAGGAGAUUGCUACAUUUCUGCAGGGGGUUUCCCUUUGUGCAGAGUGAAGCAAAGGAAGCAGCUCUCCCAGAGAGGGGCAGGAUUCCUAUAUACUGCGUGGAGACCAUCCCCCAAUCACACCAGGAGAGGAACAUGGAAAGUACACAGCAGAAUGUAUACUGUACAAGAUAUUCUUUCUUCAUGACUGCAACAAAAUCCUGAUGCAGAAAGCUUACCAUGAAGAAAGCUUUUGGCUCACAGUUUCUGAGGGUUCCAUGGCUGCUGGACUCCAUGAACUUGGGAAGAACAUCAAGAAGCAGAGGGAGGAGACACAGACCAGGAAGAAGUGUAACCCUCAAGGCAUGCCCCCAAGCACCCUACUUCUGCCAGCCAGGUUCCACUUCCGAAAGUUCCACAGCUUCCCACAGCAGCACUGCCAGUCGGGGAGUGCCUAUUCAUUCACAUUUCCUACAGAAACAAGACAAGUAGACUCAGAGAGAAAGCCUGUCUCAAAAACAGAGGAGGAGGAGGGGGAGGGGGAGGAGGAGUCAAAUUCAACCCUUAUCUACAGAGGGAAGAUGUUACAUAAACAGGUACUGCUUGCACUAGCUGAGCCUGGUGGACUCCAUUCACAGCAUGGAACGUACAGAGCACUCACUUCCACACAUGUGCACACAGUCAUGUCACGUAAAUGAGACCAUUCAGGAUGUAUGCUUAUGUGUUUACUUACACAAGGACACUCAACAGCCCAACAUAUGUGAGAAAAGUAAAGGCAAAACCUCCACCUCCGAAGAGCAUUCUCCUCAUAGUUGAAGACAAAACUCAUUCUUCACAUUAGCACAAAAACCUCCCUCUAAUCCUUUGUGAGAGCCAAAGUUACGUUUUAAGUUUUAGUUACUGUGCCUAAGAGAGCCAUGAAACAAAAAUGCCUCCGUGCAGAUCAACUCAUCUAGGUAAAGAAGGUAGGAUAGUGUUUGAUUUCAGAAAAUGACGAUAUAGGCUAUAUAUAUUCACGUGUCUGAUUGAGACACGUUUGCUUGCUCCCUUGAUUUAGAAAGAUCUUAUGAUCCCAUUUGCCAUUUGUUUGCUCUGCAAACCUAUACAGCUAAAAGCUUUGAGUGCACAGAAUGUGGUAUCAGAAUGCCAACCUUUUGAAUUCUAAAUAAGUAGGACUUUUACAUUUGUGGUAUUCAUUGAUUACAUUCGCAGUAUUCAUUCAGUAACUACAUUUAUGAUAUGAUUUAUUAUUCAUAUUAUGUCCUGAUACUAGUGUUUAUUUGUGGGACUUUUCCAUCACACAAAAUAGAAACUCUGUACUUAAGAAA